rnacentral:rRNA from 1 species
GACGAACGCUGGCGGCGUGCUUAACACAUGCAAGUCGAACGGAAAGGCCUGCUUUCCCUUGUGGAUUGCGGGUACUCGAGUGGCGAACGGGUGAGUAACACGUGAGUGAUCUGCCCCCAACUUGGGUAUACGCCUGGGAAACUGGGUCUAAUUCCCGAUAGGACUGCAGGGUGGUGCCUGUGGUGGAAAACGAUUUUCUAGUGGUUGGGGAUGAGCUCGCGGCCUAUCAGCUUGUUGGUGGGGUAAUGGCCUACCAAGGCGGCGACGGGUAGCCGGCCUGAGAGGGUGGACGGCCACAUUGGGACUGAGAUACGGCCCAGACUCCUACGGGAGGCAGCAGUGGGGAAUAUUGCACAAUGGGCGGAAGCCUGAUGCAGCGACGCCGCGUGGGGGAUGACGGCCUUCGGGUUGUAAACUCCUUUCGACCGCGAGGAAGCCACCUGGUUGGAAGGGUGGUGACGGUAGUGGUAGAAGAAGCACCGGCUAACUACGUG